GAGCUUUUUAAAAACAAAGAAGGCAGCAAGAUUUAAAAUAAUAAAACCGCUUACUGUAAAUUAGAGGGAGCAAAUUGGAGGAGAAAUGACAAAAGAAACACAAAAAAUGUUUAAUCAGACAAAGGAACUAAAAAACCUCAGUCUUAAUUAGAAGAUGGUCAAACAAAUCUCAUAACUGAUGUUCACAAUGAUGGUUUCAAGUCAUCUAAGGAAUGGGUGAGUACCAGGGAACUUGUGUAAUUUCAAUCAAAUUUAAUUUUUACAAUAAUCCCAAGAAAUAUAUCAUUAUCCCUAUAUCACAGACUAAAACAAAAUAAACAAAAA
rnacentral:lncRNA from 1 species